GUGGGGAAUUGUUCGCAAUGGGCGCAAGCCUGACGACGCAACGCCGCGUGGAGGAUGAAGAUCUUCGGGUCGUAAACUCCUGUCGAGCGGGACGAAUACUGUGCGGGUGAAUAGCCCGUGCGGCUGACGGUACCGCUAAAGGAAGCCCCGGCUAACUCCGUGCCAGCAGCCGCGGUAAUACGGGGGGGGCGAGCGUUGUUCGGAAUUACUGGGCGUAAAGGGCUUGUAGGCGGCCAGUUGAGUCGGUUGUGAAAUCCCUCGGCUUAACCGAGGAAUGGCGUCCGAUACUGACUGGCUUGAAUCCGGGAGAGGGAUGCGGAAUUCCAGGUGUAGCGGUGAAAUGCGUAGAUAUCUGGAGGAACACCGGUGGCGAAGGCGGCAUCCUGGACCGGUAUUGACGCUGAGGAGCGAAAGCCAGGGGAGCAAACGGGAUUAGAUACCCCGGUAGUCC
rnacentral:rRNA from 1 species